UGGGGAAUUUUGGACAAUGGGCGCAAGCCUGAUCCAGCCAUUCCGCGUGAGUGAAGAAGGCCUUCGGGUUGUAAAGCUCUUUCGCAAGGGAAGAAAACUUAUCCUCUAACAUAGGAUGAGGUUGACGGUACCUUGAUAAGAAGCACCGGCUAACUACGUGCCAGCAGCCGCGGUAAUACGUAGGGUGCGAGCGUUAAUCGGAAUUACUGGGCGUAAAGCGUGCGCAGGCUGUUUUGUAAGUCAGAUGUGAAAUCCCCGAGCUCAACUUGGGAACUGCGUUUGAAACUACAAGACUAGAAUAGGUCAGAGGGGGGUAGAAUUCCACGUGUAGCAGUGAAAUGCGUAGAGAUGUGGAGGAAUAUCAAUGGCGAAGGCAGCCCCCUGGGAUCAUAUUGACGCUCAUGCACGAAAGCGUGGGGAGCAAACA
rnacentral:rRNA from 1 species